rnacentral:rRNA from 1 species
UACGGAGGAUGCAAGUGUUAUCCGGAAUCACUGGGCGUAAAGCGUCUGUAGGUCGUUUAACAAGUCUACUGUUAAAAAUUGAAGCUUAACUUCAAAGAUGCCGUAGAAACUUUUAAACUUGAGUAUGGUAGGGGUAGAGGGAAUUUCCAGUGGAGCGGUGAAAUGCGUAGAUAUUGGAAAGACCACCAACGGCGAAGGCAGGUUACUGGUACGCAACUGACGCUGAGGCACGAAAGCGUGGGGAGCAAACAGG